UUUUGCUUGUGUUUUGUUUGUUUCGUGAAGUCAGCAGCAACUACCAAUGCUGUGAGUGUGAGCACACCAAGGAGCACACUGGGAUCAACAAACAGCACUAAGUGGUGUUAUUAAAAAUUCUUUCAAUGUCUUGGCCGUCUCUGGAAACACACAAUAAACUUUGUGUAGCACCAAAAGCAGCGUCGCGGAAUAUUUGCUGAACAUUAAACCACAGCUCAGAUAAACCAAAACAAUUCUUGGAAUUUGCAGAGCAACAAUUACAGAGUCAAAGGACAGCGUUUUGGUUUCGCUACUUCAAUUUUAGAAUUAAACAGCCAUUUUGUGCAGCUAUAAAGACAAAGAUCCAUCAAUAAUUUCAAGCAAAUAUCUGCGUAACUGAGCGACCGACGAUCCCCAGUGCAGACAAUUCCCUUACCACGGUACGUCCUAUACGGAGUAGUGGCUGCUAGCCUGCUCUGUGGCCACAUGUCCGCUUCCUUUUGGUUUCUUCUUUAGCUGCUCUGACUUCUCGC